rnacentral:rRNA from 1 species
CACGAACCGUACGAACGUUAUUCGGAAUUACUGGGCUUAAAGGGUUUGUAGGCGGCCAUGUAAGUCAGGUGUGAAAUCCCUCGGCUCAACCGAGGAACGGCGCUUGAUACUGCAUGGCUUGAGGGGGACAGGGGUAAGCGGAACUGAUGGUGGAGCGGUGAAAUGCGUUGAUAUCAUCAGGAACACCGGUGGCGAAAGCGGCUUACUGGGUCUCUUCUGACGCUGAGGCGCGAAAGCGUGGGGAGCAAACAGG